UUGCAUUUACCCACGACCCUAGUGAGGAUAAACAGUUCUGAAAAUGGAGGAAAUCUGAUAUAAUGCUCCAAAACAAUUCUCCUUUUGUUUAGUAAUUGAGCCCUCCGUGGGUAUUGCGCAAUCCGCGUCACUGACCAAUCAGAGGCCAGAGAUCUGCAUAAACCAAAGCCCGUUUUUGCUCCCGCCAUUUUCUCAGACAACAUUGCAUGGUCCAGUAUAGGUUUAGUUUGGGUUAUUUAACAAAAAAUAUGGUUAAGAGGUGUAGUCACGGACUUUGUAAUAGUGACGACAGGUAUCCUGAAAGGCUAGUUGGCGGAGUUCGAUUCGUACCCUUUCCAAAACCAAAGACCAGUACGAAAAAUGCCUUCGAUGGAUCAAACUUUGUGGAAGACCGCAUCAUCAACUAAAUCCAUCUAAUAUCAACCGGAACACAUAUGUUUGCACGAAGGAUUGAGCUGUCAUGGAACAAAUUAAACUUACCAGCGGACUUUCCACGUUACACGAGACCGGCCACAGCGUUGGAUUGCAGUUCUUCGUGAAGCCCUUGCCGCACUGGACGCACACAAAAGGCUUUUCCCCCGUGUGCGUGCGCUGGUGCAUGUCCAGGGUGCACUUCUGGAUGAAGCCCUUGCCGCAGACGGGACAUCGGUACGGCUUCUCGC